rnacentral:rRNA from 1 species
CAGUCGCCGCGGUAAUACGAAGGGGGCUAGCGUUGCUCGGAUUUACUGGGCGUAAAGGGCGCGUAGGCGGACAGCUUAGUCAGGGGUGAAAUCCCGGGGCUCAACCCCGGAACUGCCUUUGAUACUGGGUAUCUCGAGUCCGGAAGAGGUGAGUGGAAUUCCGAGUGUAGAGGUGAAAUUCGUAGAUAUUCGGAGGAACACCAGUGGCGAAGGCGGCUCACUGGUCCGGUACUGACGCUGAGGUGCGAAAGCGUGGGGAGCAAACAGGAUUAGAUACCCCAGUAGUCCCUGUCUCUUAUAC